CCUCCGUCGAAUUUGAGUUUUUGUUUGCAAUGUUUGACCACUCGUUUUAUUCAAAAAAUUUUAAAAUUAUUAUUUAUUUUAUUUGUGACUUACUUUAUUAUGUACAGUAUUUUAAGCACAACUUUUUGUUUUUUAUAUUUGCAAAAAAAGUUUGAAUAAGACGAGUGGUCAAACGUUGCAAGCAAAAACUCAAAAUCCCUUGUAUC
rnacentral:pre_miRNA from 1 species